CCCAGAGGUCAGAAAAGCCAGGCUGAGUGAAAGAAGUGAUAGCUGACAGAGGUCAUGGAAGGUUCAUCUGAUGCUCUUUGGUCUGGCUGCAAAGUUCUAAAGAAAUGGCCCGUCUGAAGAACAGGUUUCUCCAAGUAUGUGUUAGCAUUUGACCUCAGCCCAAAUGGGAAAGCAGCAAAUACAGAAGUGGGCAUUGGCCACCACCUCCAGUGACUCAUCAAAUCCAACGGGUUUACGUGCCAGAAACAGCACAAGCUUGUGGCAGGAAGAAGUUUGGCUCAACUAAUGGUCACUAACCGAAGAAUCCCACUGAACUUUCGGGAAAAGCCUGAC